rnacentral:lncRNA from 1 species
CAUGCACAGAAAUUCCUUCACAGAUGGGCCCUGACGUGUGUCUCCUUGGUGAUUUUCAACCCAGCCAUGUGAACAACGAAGUUUAACCACCAUACAGAGGAACACAGAGAAGAGUCACUACUUAUGCAAGAGGACGAACCAGAAAACUUGAUGGCUUCAAAAGAAAAUGAAGAAGACGUUUAUCCCCUUGGAAGGUGGAGUGGGCUGUGUGCGUAUCCACCCAUCGGCUGUUAUUCUGACCUGGUGAAAGUGAGCGGCCAUUACCAACCAGAAGACAGAAAGCAGAUCUGGUGAAGUCUAGCAGGACAAGCCAUUGUUGACUGGGAGAAGUGGGUAUUUUCCUCUUUCACUUGUGUUAUUUAUAAGCAGGUGGCACUGAAGAUUGGGCCCAGGGUCCACACUGGCUGGGCCCUUGCCCUGUACUCCAGGGUCAUGCUG